GGUUGGUGGCCUCACCUGGCGCCAAACCCACCACUUUCUAUAUAUAUUUCCUACCCACCUCUCGCCCAUCGUGAUCGAGUUCGCAUAUUUGACGAAACCAGAUCGAGGCGAUCGAUCCAUCAUGGCUUCUUCUUUGGCGUACUCCAAAUCUUUACUCGGGGGAGAGAGAGCCGACGGCGUCUCCGGCCUCGGCUUCCGUCAGCCCUCCGAUCUCCGCCGCCUGUCCUCCGCCGCCGUCCAGAUCUCCAAUCCGGCAUCGGACUUCCCUUCCCCAGCGAAGGCUCGGAGACCAGGCCAGAGCUGGAUAACUACACCAAGGAAGGAAACUGAUACAUGUCGAAUUCUUUCAGGAAUCUAUGAAGGAACGACCACUGGAACUUCAAUUAGCGUAUUUGUACUAAAUACAGAGAUCAAAGAGGACAUGACUAGACUGAAAUGUCAAUAGCCUAUAGGCCUUUUCAUGCAGAUGCCACGUACGACUUCAAGUAUGGGUUGAGAGCGAUACAGGGUCUUGGGUGCCCAGUGUUUGAUAAACUGGAAGCUGAUUUGGCAAAAGCGAUGUUGUCUCUGCCUGCAACAAAAGGGUUUGAAUUUGGCAGCGGUUUUUCAGGUACUUUUAUGACCGGAAGUGAGCAUAACGAUGAGUUCUACAUGGACGAGCAUGGUAAUAUGCGAACAAGAACGAAUCGAUCAGGCGGUAUACAGCUGUUCGGAUGGUGGAAGCCAUGGUAGCGAUGGUGCUGUUGGAUCAACUUAUGGCCCAAACUGGACAAUGUGGAUUGUUUCCUGUUGAUCCUGCCCUCCAGCAACAGAUUGCUCCUGCUCCAAAUGGAUCCUUGCUCACCCCAAAGCUUGCUUAAUACGAGGAUGUUGCUCCUAGUGGAGCUAAGCACAACUAAGGUCCAUUUUUACUGAGUUCAAAUCCUCUGAAAUGAGUUUCUGUUGUUCCUUUUGUCAAAUCUAUUUAAGCGCUGUUGUCGCACCCAAAUUCACACAGUUAUGUCCUGUUCUGGAUGAGAAAAAGGCAUUUGUAUUAGUGACCAAUAUUAGUUUAAUUCAUUUCUCAUAUAUGAUGCCUUAGUUUUACAUACAUCGAUAUAUGAAAAACCAUGUACGAUUAGCAAUGUUCUACUUAAUGGCU